GAGAGAGACAUGCGCGCAUAUCAAUAAGCGGAGGAAAAGAAACUAACAAGGAUUCCCUUAGUAACGGCGAGUGAAGCGGGAAGAGCUCAAAUUUGAAAUCUUCAAGGUUUACCUUGACGAAUUGUAGUUUAAAGAAGUGUUUUCUGCUGAAGUUUUGGUAAAAGUUCUUUGGAAUAGGACAUCAUAGAGGGUGAGAAUCCCGUAUUUGACCAUUAUUUUCAGCUUUGUGAUACACUUUCAAAGAGUCGGAUUGUUUGGGAAGUGCAGUCCAAAAUGGGUGGUAAAUUUCAUCUAAAGCUAAAUAUUGGCGAGAGACCGAUAGCGAACAAGUACCGUGAGGGAAAGAUGAAAAGAACUUUGAAAAGAGAGUUAAACAGUACGUGAAAUUGUCAAAAGGGAAGCGUUUGACACCAGUGUUGUUUUCUCGAAAAUCAAUUAAAAAUGGCUCGAUUUUGUAUUGUUGAGACCUUAAAAGCUCACUGUACAUUUUUCGUGUCUUUUUUAAUGCACUUUUCGUUUAACAAGUCAACAUCAGUUUCUUUUGUUGUAAAAGGGUCAUUGGAAGGUGGCUUUCUUUUCGGAGAAAGUGUUUAUAGCCUUUGGCCUCUGCAAUCGGAGAGACUGAGGUCUGCAGCGUAGACUCCUUCGGGGUUAGAUACAUUUGUGCUAAGUUAUAGCCUUUUCAUAGACAACUUGUUGACUAUAAUCAGUCAUGUAGCUUACUCGCUUAUGCUAUUUUACCUACGCUUAGGAUGUUGAAGUCAUCGUAUCGCGC
rnacentral:rRNA from 1 species